UUUAUCUUUCUCUUCCUACCACAUAACUUAUCUAUAAAAUUGGAACGAUACAAAGAAGAUUAUCAUGGCCCCUGCGCAAGGAUGACACGCACAAAUCGAGAAAUGGUCAAAAAAAUA
rnacentral:snRNA from 2 species